ACAGAUUUCAUGAUUUUUUAAGCAAAUAUGACGAAAUUUUAAUCAAAUUUAUAAUAACACAUAUUAAGUAUAUACUUAGUCAAAUCAUGACAACAGGAAGAUAAUAGAUCAACCAACCAAAGAUAAAGAACAGGCACAAAAAAACAUAAUUGAGCCCAAAAGAUUAUAAAGCUAAUACCAUUUCUUGUCCUGCCAGACAUAUGCAUAUAACUGGUAAGCUUUAAAAAUUUUGAGACAUGGAAAUAUGAAAUUCAGAAUUCUAAAAUACAAUAGAUGAUGACUACAAAUUAAUUUAAUAUAAAAGAUGGAUGCCUAUAUCCUAUAAAUCUUCCUAAAUAUCAAGUCCCUUGAAUUUUGAUUCCAGUUCAUUGGGGUCAGCAUUUUCUUAGGAAUCCUCAUCAAUGUCUUCUCCUUCAAGAUCUCAUCCAAAGUACAUAUCCAACAUAUCAGGUGAAUUUUUAAAUAUAUCCUUCAAGUUCUCUAAGUUUUUGUACAACAACUUCAAGUGCCAUGACUCUCUUCCAGUGCUUUGCUGAUCAAAAUUGUAGCUUCAUCUUUCAUUCAUUCUCAAAUCCUUACAUUUGACAAACUUGGAGUUUACUUUGAAAGUACUAAAACUUAUUUUGGUGCAAUGAUACUCGUUUUGAAUAUAAAUAAAUAUAGAUCAAAAGCACAAAGAACAUGGUUUACUCCAAUAAUCAAUAUCACCAAGUUGUUUUCCUAUGGCCACAGAGAAAAGCUUUAAAUUAAAAAAAAAUAAAAAAAAUUUAUCCAUCUCAUGACAAAGAUAAUGAGAGGAGCAAAACAGUACAUUUAUUGUUUGUAUCAAAAAAAUAAAAAUAAUAAAAGAGUAAUAUUUUAGCAAUCGUAUUACAAUACCAACAAAAGAAAAAAAAUAGUCAAUAAUGUAUAAGAAUCAAGUGAGAGAAUAUACCACACCAACUUAAAAAGCUUAACGCACUAAAUAGAUAAAUUUCUCAUUUCAUAAACUCUCACACAUUAUUUCAUUUAAUAUAAGACUAACUAUCAUUCACACUUGUUACUUAUCAAUACUUACCCAACAGAAAAGCAACUUGUUUUUAUUGUCUCCUAUCAAAUGAUCAAAAAUUCUUUCAACAUGUUAUUACAAACAGAAAACCAAAACUGAUUGUUGAAAUAUAUUUUAAAACAAAAUGGAAGAAUACUACAAACUAAAUCAAGAAAGUCAUAAUUAUUUGUUGAAAAGAUAGUUGAAGAGUACCUUUUUCCGAUAAAGGUUUGAUGCAAAUGUUUCGUGAGUCAAUUUAGAAAACAUAUUGCAAGCAAACAAUUAUUGAAGGAUAUAAUGCAUGACACAGAUAUGUAAAUCUCGCACCUUGUAAGCUCUAAAUAAGAUGGCUAUUUCUUGCCAUUGCAACUAUGAAACUCCAGAACAAUAAACAAUGUAAAUAAUAAAUAAUUAACCCAGAGAGAAAGUGAAUGAAGAAACUCCUUCAUACCAAGCUUCAUCAGUCACCAAACCCAACAGCAGCAUAGGUUACAAUUUAACCAAGCCAGUUAAUACCCCUUUUUUCAAUUUCAAAACAGCGACCUCAUGGUGCAACCUUUGGGACAACACCCUGACCUUCUUGCACGACACAAAAAAAAAGCAUUAGACAUCACAUGUAAUCACCAAUAACAACAACAUAAUACUGUGAUAACAACAUAUAAAACUAAAGCAGCAGAACUUCAAAUUGCAAAAACACCUAAUGAAAACAACCCAAAGCAUAUGAAAGCAAGGCAGCAAAACAAAUCCCCUUGCAUAAUUUAAUGUCAUCAUUCAAUUUGGUUGACUGAAAUAAUAAAGCAAUAUAAGAAAAUUAAAAUGUUAAUCAAUUGAGCAAUAUUUAGAUAUCGAUAGCUAAAAUUGAAGUAUAAGAGAAACUAACAAACGAUUCUACAUUGAUGUAUAAAUUGAGCAAGAUAUUCACCUUUGCCAGUUCAAAAUCAGCAAGGUUGACAAAUCCGUGUGCAUCCACCAAUAUAUUUGAACAUUUAAUAUCCCUUUAGAUUAGGAAAUUUCAAAGUAUGAAUGUAAAACUCAAAGUGAGAUCAACCUUGCUUCUAUAUUAAAAGGAAAAAUGGACAAUUUCUAUGUAACCCCUACAAUAAUGAAGAAACUUAAAAUAAUAAAAAUAAGUAACUUGCUUCUACAUACAAAGAAAAAUGAUGCGGAGAAGAAGUGACCAGCGCCUAAUGAUUAGACAUAUCGACAAUAAAGAAGAUGAGUUCCCUGCAUCUACAUACAAAGAAAAAUUAUGGCCAGUUUCUAUUGUAGCCCUGCAAAAUUACCAAGAAGUGACCAGCAUCAGUGAUAGAAAAUGUAAAUGAGAAAGUAGUACGAAGGAAAAUGUAUAUAAUAUUUUAUUUAAGAAAAAUAUUAUCUACAAAAUUAUAAGAAAAAGUCAAGUUUCUUAUGUAUAUUUGAUAGGGGAUGAAACAUGUCUGUCUAUAUACUUCAAUCACAAUUUCAAAAGGAGAGGGCAUACCUUAAACUUCGCAGCUCUAAAGGAACCUUCACAUGAAUAGAAAAAAAAACCCAAAAAAAUUGGAUCCUUUCUGAAACACAAAAUAGAGAAAACCCAUCAUAGAAAAAAGGAAAAAAUCAGAAUCACUUGUAACAAUUCAGGCGCAAUCGAAGACAGAAAGUUUUCACAUUUCAAUCGAAAAAGAUAAAAAAACAAAACAAUAAACUUUUGGUUUACGAAGAAUCAAAGAGCAAUUAAAGUCACCGUUUUGAACGGAAUGGAGGAAUGAGAAAAGCUGGGAGAAUGCUUGUGAUGUUUUUGUUGUAUCCGAAAAAGAAAGAAUUUUUGGAGAAGGAGGUAUUGUUCUGUUACAAAGAAAUCAGAAUGGAUAGAAAGAGACAUGGCAUGGACCUCAGAGAUGGCAGAAGAGAGGGAACGAUGUGGAGAAGCAGCAAAAAAGGAGGUAUUGUUCUGUGUUACAAAGAAAAUGGACCUCAGAGAUGGCAGAAGAGAGGGAACGAUGUGGAGAAGCAGCAAAAAACAAAGAGAUUUACGUCCGUGGAACAGAGAGAGGUGAAGGCGAAGACAAAGGGGAGCACGCCAAAGUCAACAAAGAGAGGCACCGUGCAAAGGCGGAAGAAGACUUUGAGGAGUAAUGUUUGAAUGGUCAAUAGUCAAUAGGAUGAAUUGGAU
rnacentral:lncRNA from 1 species